rnacentral:tRNA from 4 species
AAUCCGUCGACUUUAUAAGUCGUGAGGGUUCAAGUCC